ensembl:lncRNA
CAGAGAUGGGAAAUAUUAGAGCAAUAUUAGGGCCAUGAUAGAGCAGGGCCAAUGGGGGAAUUUUGCCAGGACACCGGGGGUUGUACCCCUACUCUUUACGAUAAGUGUCCUGGGACACCUCGGUUUAACGUCUCAUCCGAAAGACAGGAUUGAUCAGUUCAGUGAAUUAGCAGGAACAGGAUUGGUCAGUUCAGUGAAUUAGCACUUCCAUUCUGACAGAUGGAGAUUUCACACACAGAGCUUUCACACCUCGUAACAGUGCACGCACACACACACACACACACACACACACACACACACCCUUUGGACAGAUCUUUCUGCAUGUCCACAACACACUCACAUUGAUGACAUUAUUAACACUAGCCAGACCUUCAACCCCGCGGUGUUCAAUACACACGAUGCUAACAGUUUUGCUGCUGUAUUGACAUUUUUAUACCCUCGUUAGUCUCCAUAAUGAGCACUGCAGAAAUAAUUCUGUGUUUAUGAGGUGUAAUGUAUGUAUUCCCUUCUGUGAAAACAAGGAUUAAUGAAAUGAAAUGGAGGAGGAAGAGGUGAUGAGGGAGGAUGAGGAGGUGAUGAAGAGAUGAGGAGGUGAUGAAGAGUGGAUGAGGAGGUGAUGAAGAGUGGAUGAGGGGGUGAUGAAGGAGGAUGAGGAGGUGAUGAGAGGAUGAGGAGGUGAUGAAGGAGGAUGAGGAGGUGAUGAAGGAGGAUGAGGGGGUCGAGGUCACCCGCGGCUGAAAUGUACACAGGAAGAAAUUGUGAUGAAAGAGGAAACAUAAAACACACCAGUGUAUCAGAUUUCUCUCAUAGUCUCUCCUCUCCUGAUUGAUUUUCUCUCCAUUUUCAUUCCCAUUAUUUGUCCCCUUUUUCUAACAAUUAUCUUUCUUUUUCCCUCCGUCCUUUUCUCUGUUUUUCAACUGCUCUUUUUUCUCUCUCAUUUCAUUUGUCCUCCCUCAUUUUGAUAUCUCUUUCCCCCCUUCUCUAUCAUUCUUCCUCUUUAUAUCUCUCCCGGCUUUCUCCACCUGUCCUUUUUCUCCAUCUCCCUCCUUCACGCCCUCACUCUCUGUCUCUCUCUUUCUGUCUGUAUGUCUCUUCUUCUGUCUUCCUUUCUCUCUGUACGUGUCGCUCUCUCUCUCUCUAUGUCUGUCUCGCUCUAUUACUGUUUCUAUCUUUGUCUCUCUCUCACUUUAUCUGUCUCUCUUCCUGUCUGGCUGCCUCUUGGUCUCAGUCUUUGUCUCUAUUUCUGUCUCUAUUUGUCUCUCUGUCUGUCAGUUUCCUUUUAUUCCCUCCUUCCCUUCUCUUACCAAUUUCCUUGUUAUUUUUCCUCCCCUUUCUUCCUAUUUCUUUCACUUCCCCUCUACACUAUUCUACACUAGAUGGUAGAUUUCAUAGUGCAUAGUGUAAGUGCUUAGCACAGUUUAGCGGUUAGCACGUCUACCUCGCACCUCCAGGGCUGGGGGUUCAAUUCCCACCGCUGCUCUGUGUGUGCGGAGUUUGCAUGUUCUCCCAGUGCUACUGGGUACUCUGGUUUCCUUACCCCAGUCCAAAGACAUGUAGGCUGAUUGGCAUUUCCAAAUUGUCUGUAGAGUUUGUCCAGGGUGUCCACCACCUCAUGACUUGAGUUACUUGGGAUAAACUCCAGGAUCCACCUGAUAA